rnacentral:rRNA from 1 species
GUUGCAUUAUUAGAACAGAACCAACCUACUGUCAGGAGCCAAUUAUUUCAGAGUAGCAAGUGUAAAGGAGAAAAAGUACAUUAAAUAAUUUGUUCUCCCUCUCACGGUAAGACAAAAGGUAGCAAGAGAAAGCCCGCAGUAGCGCCAAACUCUAGAAGGGUGGCGAGCAUGGACACCACUGCACUCCAGCUCCUCGACCUCAGCAAGAAAGAGCAUG